UACGAAGGGGGCGAGCGUCGUUCGGAUUUACUGGGCGUAAAGGGCGCGUAGGCGGCCUUCUAAGUCGAACGUGAAAUCCCUGGGCUCAACCCAGGAACUGCGUCCGAUACUGGAAGGCUUGAAUCCGGGAGAGGGAUGCGGAAUUCCAGGUGUAGCGGUGAAAUGCGUAGAUAUCUGGAGGAACACCGGUGGCGAAGGCGGCAUCCUGGACCGGCAUUGACGCUGAGGCGCGAAAGCCAGGGGAGCAAACGGG
rnacentral:rRNA from 1 species